rnacentral:rRNA from 1 species
GAUGAACGCUGGCGGCGUGCCUAAUACAUGCAAGUCGAGCGAACGGACGAGAAGCUUGCUUCUCUGAUGUUAGCGGCGGACGGGUGAGUAACACGUGGAUAACCUACCUAUAAGACUGGGAUAACUUCGGGAAACCGGAGCUAAUACCGGAUAAUAUUUUGAACCGCAUGGUUCAAAAGUGAAAGACGGUUUUGCUGUCACAUAUAGAUGGAUCCGCGCUGCAUUAGCUAGUUGGUAAGGUAACGGCUUACCAAGGCAACGAUGCAUAGCCGACCUGAGAGGGUGAUCGGCCACACUGGAACUGAGACACGGUCCAGACUCCUACGGGAGGCAGCAGUAGGGAAUCUUCCGCAAUGGGCGAAAGCCUGACGGAGCAACGCCGCGUGAGUGAUGAAGGUCUUCGGAUCGUAAAACUCUGUUAUUAGGGAAGAACAUAUGUGUAAGUAACUGUGCACAUCUUGACGGUACCUAAUCAGAAAGCCACGGCUAACUACGUG